rnacentral:lncRNA from 1 species
GCUAAACAAAAACAAAAUGAUAUGUUAAUAGAUAGCAUAGGUAGCUGUAUUGUUAACCUAUAAAGCAAACAUAUACAGAUACAAUAGAAACUAUAAAAGCAGGAUAAAGUGCUGGAGAUAAAAGAUAAAUGAUGUCCCAAGAAGUAUCAAGCUUUAGUAUCAAAGGUAUAUGAAAAGAACUUGUAUACAACAAUCGCCCAAACCAUCUUGAAUUGUUAGCUAGAGCCAGAACAAUGAACUGAUCCAUUCCACCAUAUAGCAUCAAUUGAGAUCUCCUACACAUCCAAUCAUUGAACUUAUACAACUGAAAAGUACAAAGGAAGACCACAGCCAGAAUAUUAAGAAAAAUAAGGCAAUAAAGAGAACACCCGUAGAGAUAAGUAAUAGAAAAAAUGCAACAACAUAAACAAUAGGGCUUUGAACUAAAGAAUAGAUGCAAUGGAAUAAAACCAAUAGCUUGAUAGAGAUCGGAUAAUAGAUAGAACAAAAAUUUCAAAACCACC